UCAAACCAGGCUGAAAACACUGGUUCUCGUUUGAUCAUGGAAGUUAAACAGGGUCAAGCCUGGUCAGUACAUAGAUGGGUGACGACUU